GAAUAAGUGGGUAAAGAGCCCUUGGAAUCCCAUUGUGAUAAAGGGACUUCCCUUAGCACUGGAAUUGUUCUUAGAGCCUCUGGAUUUCAGACAAACACUGAAUUUCCCUGAACUUAACCUUGAGCAGAAUAACCUUCAUUUUCACAAGAAAGUAAGGCAUUGUAACCCAAGGUGGAAAACUUAAACUUUAAGACAAUACUGUGUCAGAAAAAUGUGUAUUUAGAAGAGUGAAACCCUGUGGAGUCUGUUGUCCUAGUGUAUAUUAUAUUAUAUAGUAGAUAAGGUGGCUUUUUUUUUUUUAUUUUUUAUUGAAGACUCAUUCUGGUUCUUCAUUUGGUUUUGUGUUUUGUCUUUUAAUGCUACAUAUGUAGACAGAGCUCACAAGUCUUUGGCUCCCAUAUUAGGUUGUACACUCAGAGUCAUCUUAUAACUGGAAACUGUCAGGUGGUCCCAGCUCCAGUGAACACAGGAAAAGUCAAGGAAAGGAUGCAAGACUGGGUGAAUAGCGCUCUGGGGUUUUGGUUUUGUUUUGGUCCUCCUUUUAAAAAUUGUCAUUUUUAUAAUUUAUUGGUGUAGCCUCUCUCUCUGUUCAUUGGCUGACAUUUCACAGUAAUAUCCAAACCACCCCAUAAAAUUGUAUUCUUACAAGCCUUUAAAGCUAUGAUUCCUGUUUAGCUAAGACAGUCCUGAGAGGUUUUGGGGUUUGUUUUGUUUUGGUUUGUUUUUGCCUCACUUUCCCCUUACCCUUUUUUAUCCUUUGUCUUCCCAACUUUCUGGAUAUAAAAGAAAAAAAAACUUCACUGGUCUUAGGCCUCAGUAAUGAGUCUGACUUUCCAGGAGUGAUACAGGAAGUGAACUAAGGUAAUGAGCAAACUUCUCACCCACCUAACUGCUUUCCAGUUGUGAGGUUCCUCUUCGUGUGUGGUCUUUUCCCUUUUACCCCUGAAACCCUUCCCUGCCUAUGGUCAGUUGGUCUCACGGCUCACACCAGUCUCCUGAGACAUUCUGCACUCAUUAUCACCUUUUUGGGUGGAUUUUUCUUAGUUUUUUUGUUUUGUUUUUAAAAAAUAACUUUAACAUUGAUUCAUAUUUGCUUGGGAUAGAGCUUAUGUAAUUUACCAAUCGUAUUGAUUGUAUGUGAUUGUGCCCUGCAGAGGUAUACUUAACAUGAGUAAUCUUAAGUUAGUAAAGGAGCUAUGAGAUUUGAGUCAGAAUAGAGAUGGCUUUAUGGGGAGUGUGAAGUCCCUUCUCAGAAUCAGUGCUACGGAAGACCCCCUUUGAAAGGUUUUCCUCCAUUCCUGUGUUUUUCCAUUGCCUCGGCUCCCUAUUGUUUUCUGACAUUUUCUCCCCACCUGCUCACAAGGUUUUUUAAAUUGAGUCUUAAAAUAAGAGAUAACUUUUAACUGAAUGAAUUUUGUGAAAUUUUACAUUUUCCAAAUGUUUUCAAUUGAGGACAAAGGAUGGGCUGGACUUGGCCAGCCUGUGACCAUCUCCUUCCCAUCUGGCCUGGCCAACAGUGAGAUUUGCAUUUAGAGGCAUUAUCUUCUGAAAGUUGUUUUUGUAUAGGAAAAAAAAGAACCUUGCUUGAAAUGGAACAUUCCCUUUCUUUAAUCUGUUUAAUAUUUCCGUUUUUAAACAGCUUUCAAAACAAAUGAGGUGGGGAAAAAAGAACUAGGAGUGUGUUUAGGGCUGCCGACCUCUGGAUCUGAACGAGUACAUGGACCAUGUGUUGCAUAUUCUUGAGAAGAUUAAGGCCUUCUCUCUUAAUUUUGUAUUCUUUGUGUGCAUGUUGUUUAUAUUAAAGAUGGCACAUUUUGUUAAAAUGCUAUUUCCUUUAUUACCUUGGAAACUGACUCAGCCUCUUGUUGCUCCUAAUUAGGGUUUAAGGCUCUUGUAAGUUGCAGAUAAAAGGAUUCAUUUUAACAAUAGAAGGAGGUGGUUCACCUUUUGGAUUGUAAAUAUAUGAAAGUGUCUAAAGGUCUUUAUCUGCUUUCUGUCAGCAUUUAUAUUAAAUGAUAAAUUAAUGAGG
rnacentral:lncRNA from 1 species